GUGGUUGUAUGCAUCUCCACUCUUUCGACGAUAGAUCACAUACCAUGUGAUUCAUCAGCCAAUUGUUCCACAUAAUAUUUGCAUUCAAGAGUUAUUGGAGUUAGUUGAACAUGAGAGACGGGUCAAGUUCAACCCGACAAGAAAUUCAACGAUGUUUCAUCUCCCGAUUGUUGUUGCAAGCUGGUGUCAAUGCCGGUGAGCUUGAGGACUGAAUCUUCGAACAUUCAGUUCUUUUGAUCAAUAAAGUUCGGGGCUGAUAAACCGAGAAAGAGAAGUUCCAGCGAGAGGAAUGGUUCGGUCACAUGCUACGAUUCAGAAACGAUGCGAUUAUUAUAUUCAGUAUUAUAUGCCUCCAGCUUCCUUUUGAACUGGCGUAUGCACAUUUGUACGAGAUCAUUGGAUCCGAUAUCAUAAGGUUUGGGUUAACGGCAAUUUACCUAUUUGCCAUUCAAUAUUUCACACAAAUUGGGGGGAAGGUGUCGGUGAAGUUAAUAAAGCGUGAAAAAAAUGAGAGCUCUGAAUAUAGGGCCAAUAGUUUGAUUUACAAGUUAAUGUAGGUGAUAACGUUAAGGUAGGUGGUUAUAUGCAUCUCCACGCUUUCGACUAUAGAUCACAUACCAUGUGAUUCAUCAGCCAACUGUUCCACAUAACAUUUGCAUUCAAGAGUUAUUGGAGUCAGUUGAACAUGAGCGACGGAUCAAGUUCAACCCGGCAAGAAAUUCAACGAUGUUUCAUCACCCGACUGUUGUUGCAAGUUGGUGUGAAUGCCGGUGAGCUUGAGGACUGAAUCUUCCAACAUUCAGCUGGGUUCAAAAAUUUAUCAACUUUUCUAAAUAAAAAUACCAGUUUAUGUUCGUUGUUCGUUUUUUGGGUAGGUUCUUUUGAUCAAUAAAGUUUGGGGCUGAUAAAACCGAGAAAGAGAAGUUCCAACGAGAGGAAUGGUUCAGUCACAUGCUACGAUUCAGAAACGAUGCGAUUAUUACAUUGAGUAUUAUAUGCCUCCAACUUCCUUUUUAACUGGCGUAUGCACAUUUGUACGAGAUCAUUGGAUCCGAUAUCAUAAAAAACAAGAGAAAACGGGAAAAGGGAAUGGCAGCCAGAAUAUCUUAUUUUAAUUCUAGGGUUGAGAAGGAGUAUUUUAAGCCUCUAUAUUCCGCCAGUGUUGGUGAUGAACUCGAAGAUGGGCUCUUUGAUGUCAUGAAUGGAUUCAACCCGUGUAACUCAAGUUUCUAACUUGAUCUCCUCUUUGGCGUCAUAGUAGUUGGUACUAAUACUCGCAUUGUGGGAUAAUGGGCUGGUACUGAAGAUGGAGCUACUAUUAUGCACAACAUGGUUGUUGAAGGGUCGUCAAGCGCUGGUUCCAUGAACAUAGUGCACACACUGGUCCAGCAGUUGCAACAGGGAAUUACACAACGAUAUGGGUGUACCUACUGGCGCCCACACUUGGAGUCCUGGCUGGAGCAGGUGUGCAACCACGUUAAGCUUGAAGCUUCAGUUGUAAAUGCUUUGAUCUUCUGUUUUGAGUGUGGUUUGAUGCCAAUAAAACAGGAAGUGAUGUUGUGUCCCUCCACAUCUGGUGUGGAAUAUAAGUUACCUGUGAUUUGUUUUUUUAUGGUUUGGCUUUUGUGUUGAUUGUUUCAAUAAAGAAAAACAUGUGUAUUUAGUUACAUAAUACUAUUAAUAAUACCUAAAUGGUUAAUAAACAAAGAUUUUGCCUUUAAAAUCUUAUCUUUUUGUAUUUAGUUACUAUUACUAAUAUGAUUUGUAUAUUUAUAUGAAGACAUUAAGAUAAUA